rnacentral:rRNA from 1 species
AAUGAACGUUGGCGGCGUGGAUUAGGCAUGCAAGUCGUGCGCGAACUGUAGCAAUACAGGGAAAGCGGCGUAAGGGAGAGUAAUACGUAGGUAUCUACCCAUGGGUCUGGGAUAGCGGCGGGAAACUGCCGGUAAUACCAGAUAACGUCUCCGGACCAAAGGUGUGAUUCCACCUGUGGAGGAGCCUACGGCCUAUUAGCUAGUUGGCAGGGUAACGGCCUACCAAGGCUUGGAUGGGGUACGGGGUGUGAGAGCAUCGCCCCCGCUCACUGGGACUGAGACACUGCCCAGACACCUACGGGUGGCUGCAGUCGAGAAUCUUCGGCAAUGGGCGCAAGCCUGACCGAGCGACGCCGCGUGCGGGAUGAAGGUCUUCGGGUUGUAAACCGCUGUCGUAGGGGAUGAAACGCUAGUGAGUUAUCUCAUUAGUUUGACUGAACCUAGGAGGAAGGGCCGGCUAAUCUCGUGCCAGCAGCCGACGGUAAAGUGUGACUGU